ensembl:lincRNA
AUGAAAGUGAAAAAUGAAAGUGAAGUCGCUCAGUCAUGUCCGACUCUUUGCGACCCCAUGGACUGCAGCCUACCAGGCUUCCCUGUCCAUGGGAUUUUCCAGGCAAGAGUACUGGAGUGGGGUGCCAUUGCCUUCUCUUAUCCAUCUAUACUCAUGUUAAAGUCACUUCUCUGUCAUAAAACUUUCUCAGAUUCCCCAGCAAGAAUGAAUCACUUCUAUGCUUUCUCAUAUUUAGUUUGUAGGGGACCAUCGCAUUCUCUCAGGCUCUGUUUUAGAGGUAGUUAUGUAUUUUCCCAUUUUAUAGCCAACAAAAAAGGUUCAUCAUUUUGUGUAUCCAAAAUGUUUAUCAUUUUUAGGUGUUUAAUAAACAUGUGAUAUUAAAAAUGAAUUCUGUACCUGAAAUACUUUUCUUAAUAUACUGCACUUCCAUCUUUUAACAUCCUUAUGUACAAACUCUCUCUUGACUGGUUCAUGAUUCCUUCUAUCUUUCCUUCAACAAAUAUGUAUUAAAAACCUAUUAUGUGUUAGAUCCAAUGUUAGCAUCUGAAUUUACAAAAAUCAUUAAGGCCUGUCAUCUGCCCUUUUGCGUGCAUGUAUGCCCAGUCACUUCAGUCGUGUCCGAUUCUGUAAUCCAUGGAUCGUAAUCCAUCAGGCCCCUCUGGCCAUGAGAUUGUCCAGGUGAGAAUACUAGAGUGGGAUGCCAUGCCCUCCUCCACAGGAUCUUCUCAGUCCAGGGAUCAAAACUGCAUUGCCUGCAUCUCCUGCAUUGCAGGUGGAUUCUUUCCACUGAGCCACCAGGGGAGAAGCCCUCACCUGCUCCUUUCAGUUCAGUUCAGUUCAGUUCAGUUCAGUAGCUCAGUCGUGUCCGACUCUUUGCAACCCCAUGAAUCGCAGCACGCCAGGCCUCCCUGUCCAUCACCAACUCCCAGAGUUCACUCAGAUUCACGUCCAUCAAGUCAGUGAUGCCAUCCACCCAUCUCAUCACCUGUCGUCCCCUUCUCAUCCUGACCCCAAUCCCUCCCGGUAUCAAAGUCUUUUCCAAUGAGUCAACUCUUCGCAUAAGGUGGUUAAAGUACUGGAGUUUCAGCUUUAGCAUCACUCCUUCCAAAGAAAUCCCAGGGCUGAUCUCCUUCAGAAUGGACUGGUUGGAUCUCCUUGCAGUCCAAGGAACUCUCAAGAGUCUUCUCCAACACUUAGGGAAUCUUAAAUACACUGCAGAGAGAAACAUGAAAAUACAAUCUUAUAAUAGCAAUAAAAGAAAUUAUCUACAAAGUCACAAGACCAAAAUGAUAAGUGAUAAUACAUUUGCCCUCAUUCCAAAUGAUUGAUUCCUAUUCUUUAUUUCAGAAGAUAUAUAUAUAUAUAUUAGGGCAAGAGCAAACAGAUCCUUAAAAUAUACAGCUCUUAAAUAUUAGACUGAAAGUGAAGGUUGUUAAUCAUCUCUGACUCUAUCCCAUGGACAAUACAGUCCAUAGAAUUCUCCAGGCCAGAAUACUGGGGUGGGUAGCCUAUCCACUCUCCAGGGGAUCUUCCCAACCCAGAAAUCAAACCAGGGUCUCCUGCAUUGAAGGAGGAUUCUUUACUGACUAAGCUAGGAGAGAAGCCCACAAGAGAAAACUCUACACAUGGACAUCACCAGAUGGCCAACACUGAAAUCAGAUUGAUUAUAUUCUUUGCAGCCAAAGAUGGAGAAGCUCUAUACAGUCAGUAAAAACAAGACCGGGAGCUGACUGUGGCUCAUAUCAUGAACUCCUUAUUGCCAAAUUCAGACUUAAAUUGAAGA